rnacentral:rRNA from 1 species
CGCACAAGCGGUGGAGCAUGUGGUUUAAUUCGAUGCAACGCGAAGAACCUUACCAAGGCUUGACAUACUACAGAUUUCUUUGAAAGAGGAAAGUGCCUUCGGGAAUGUAGAUACAGGUGGUGCAUGGCUGUCGUCAGCUCGUGUCGUGAGAUGUUGGGUUAAGUCCCGCAACGAGCGCAACCCUUAUUUUUAGUUGCUAAUUUAUUUUAGGUUUUCUAGAAAGACUGCCGGUGACAAACCGGAGGAAGGUGAGGAUGACGUCAAGUCAGCAUGCCCCUUAUGCCUUGGGCUACACACGUGCUACAAUGGCUAAGACAAAGAGUUGCGAGCUCGCGAGAGUCAGCUAAUCUCAUAAACUUAGCCUAAGUUCGGAUUGUAGGCUGCAACUCGCCUGCAUGAAGUCGGAAUCGCUAGUAAUCGC